GAUAAACGCUGGCGGCGCACAUAAGACAUGCAAGUCGAACGGACUUAACCAUUAGUUUACUAUUGGAGCGGUUAGUGGCGGACUGGUGAGUAACACGUAAGCAACCUGCCUAUUAGAGGGGAAUAACAGUGAGGAAUCACUGCUAAUACCGCAUAUGCUUACACUAUCACAUGAUAGAGUGAGGAAAGGAGCAAUCCACUAGUAGAUGGGCUCGCGUCUGAUUAGCUAGUUGGUGGGGUAAUAGCCUACCAAGGCGACGAUUGGUAGCCGGACUGAGAGGUUGAACGGCCACAUUGGGACUGAGACACGGCCCAG
rnacentral:rRNA from 1 species